rnacentral:rRNA from 1 species
GAUGAACGCUAGCGGCAGGCCUAACACAUGCAAGUCGAGGGGUAGAGGGGGCUUGCUCCCUUGAGACCGGCGCACGGGUGCGCACCGCGUAUGGAACCUACCCAGUAUAGGGGAACAGCCCAGGGAAACUUGGAUUAAUGCCCCAUAGUCUAUAAUGAGAGCAUUUGAAUUAUAGUAAAGAGGUUACGGCAAAAGAUGAGUAUGCGUUCUAUUAGCUAGAUGGUGUGGUAACGGCACACCAUGGCUACGAUAGAUAGGGGCCCUGAGAGGGGGAUCCCCCACACUGGUACUGAGACACGGACCAGACUCCUACGGGAGGCAGCAGUAGGGAAUAUUGGACAAUGGGCGAGAGCCUGAUCCAGCCAUGCCGCGUGCAGGAAGACUGCCCUAUGGGUUGUAAACUGCUUUUAUACAGGAAGAAACCCCCGCUCGUGAGCGGGACUGACGGUACUGUAAGAAUAAGGAUCGGCUAACUCCGUGCCAGCAGCCGCGGUAAUACGGAGGAUACAAGCGUUAUCCGGAAUCAUUGGGUUUAAAGGGUACGUAGGCGGGCUUAUAAGUCAGUGGUGAAAUCCUACCGCUUAACGGUAGAACUGCCAUUGAAACUGUUAGUCUUGAGUUAUGGUGAGGUAGCCGGAACAUGUGGUGUAGCGGUGAAAUGCAUAGAUAUCACAUAGAACGCCGAUUGUGAAGGCAGGUUACCAACCAUAUACUGACGCUGAUGGACGAAAGCGUGGGGAGCGAACGGGAUUAGAUACCCCGGUAGUCCACGCCGUAAACGAUGGAUACUAGCUGUUGGGGUUGGGUUUUCGGACUCAGCGGCCAAGCGAAAGUGAUAAGUAUCCCACCUGGGGAGUACGUUCGCAAGAAUGAAACUCAAAGGAAUUGACGGGGGCCCGCACAAGCGGUGGAGCAUGUGGUUUAAUUCGAUGAUACGCGAGGAACCUUACCAGGGCUUAAAUGUAGCUGGACAGAUUUAGAAAUAGAUCCUCCUUCGGGCUAGUUACAAGGUGCUGCAUGGUUGUCGUCAGCUCGUGCCGUGAGGUGUCAGGUUAAGUCCUAUAACGAGCGCAACCCCUGCUGUUAGUUGCCAGCGAGUCAUGUCGAGAACUCUAACAAGACUGCCAGUGCAAACUGUGAGGAAGGUGGGGAUGACGUCAAAUCAUCACGGCCCUUACGUCCUGGGCUACACACGUGCUACAAUGGUAGGUACAGAGAGCAGCCACUGGGUGACCAGGAGCGAAUCUAUAAAACCUAUCACAGUUCGGAUCGGAGUCUGCAACUCGACUCCGUGAAGCUGUAAUCGCUAGUAAUCGGAUAUCAGCCAUGAUCCGGUGAAUACGUUCCCGGGCCU